CCUACGGGUGGCAGCAGUGGGGAAUAUUGGACAAUGGGCGAAAGCCUGAUCCAGCCAUGCCGCGUGUGUGAAGAAGGCCUUCGGGUUGUAAAGCACUUUCAGUGGGGAAGAAAGCCUUGGGGCUAAUACCCUCGAGGAAGGACAUCACCCACAGAAGAAGCACCGGCUAACUCCGUGCCGGCAGCCGCGGUAAUACGGAGGGUGCGAGCGUUAAUCGGAAUUACUGGGCGUAAAGCGCGCGUAGGCGGUCUGAUAAGCCGGUUGUGAAAGCCCCGGGCUCAACCUGGGAACGGCAUCCGGAACUGUCAGGCUAGAGUGCAGGAGAGGAAGGUAGAAUUCCCGGUGUAGCGGUGAAAUGCGUAGAGAUCGGGAGGAAUACCAGUGGCGAAGGCGGCCUUCUGGACUGACACUGACGCUGAGGUGCGAAAGCGUGGGUAGCAAACAGGAUUAGAUACCCCUGUAGUC
rnacentral:rRNA from 1 species